rnacentral:rRNA from 1 species
GAUGAACGAUGGCGGGGGGGAGAAUACAUGCAAGUCGAGCGAACAGAUGAGGAGCUUGCUCCUCUGACGUUAGCGGCGGACGGGUGAGUAACACGUGGAUAACCUACCUAUAAGACUGGGAUAACUUCGGGAAACCGGAGCUAAUACCGGAUAAUAUAUUGAACCGCAUGGUUCAAUAGUGAAAGACGGUUUUGCUGUCACUUAUAGAUGGAUCCGCGCCGCAUUAGCUAGUUGGUAAGGUAACGGCUUACCAAGGCAACGAUGCGUAGCCGACCUGAGAGGGUGAUCGGCCACACUGGAACUGAGACACGGUCCAGACUCCUACGGGAGGCAGCAGUAGGGAAUCUUCCGCAAUGGGCGAAAGCCUGACGGAGCAACGCCGCGUGAGUGAUGAAGGUCUUCGGAUCGUAAAACUCUGUUAUUAGGGAAGAACAAAUGUGUAAGUAACUAUGCACGUCUUGACGGUACCUAAUCAGAAAGCCACGGCUAACUACGUG